rfam:Daphnia pulex DAPPTscaffold_238_Cont7633, whole genome shotgun sequence.
GGUCCUAUGGCUUAGAUGGCAAAGCGCAUGCCUAGUAAGCAGGAGAUCACGAGUUCGAGUUUCGUUGGAACCU